rnacentral:rRNA from 1 species
CCUACGGGAUGCACCAGUGGGGAAUAUUGCACAACGGGCGCAAGCCUGAUGCAGCCAUGCCGCGUGUACGAAGAAGGCCUUCGGGUUGUAAAGUACUUUCAGCGGGGAGGAAGGUGUUGUGGUUAAUAACCGCAGCAAUUGACGUUACCCGCAGAAGAAGCACCGGCUAACUCCGUGCCAGCAGCCGCGGUAAUACGGAGGGUGCAAGCGUUAAUCGGAAUUACUGAGCGUAAAGCGCACGCAGGCGGUCUGUCAAGUCGGAUGUGAAAUCCCCGGGCUCAACCUGGGAACUGCAUUCGAAACUGGCAGGCUAGAGUCUUGUAGAGGGGGGUAGAAUUCCAGGUGUAGCGGUGAAAUGCGUAGAGAUCUGGAGGAAUACCGGUGGCGAAGGCGGCCCCCUGGACAAAGACUGACGCUCAGGUGCGAAAGCGUGGGGAGCAAACAGGAUUAGAUACCCCGGUAG